rnacentral:rRNA from 1 species
GACGUAGGAUGCAAGCGUUGUCCGGAAUUAUUGGGCGUAAAGAGUUCGUAGGCGGUUAUCUAAGUCUGGUGUUAAAUCCCGAAGCUCAACUUCGGCAUGGCAUUGGAAACUGGAUAGCUAGAGUGUGGUAGAGGUAUCGGGAAUUCCUGGUGUAGCGGUGAAAUGCGUAGAUAUCAGGAGGAACACCGGCGGCGAAAGCGCGAUACUGGGCCAUAACUGACGCUGAGGAACGAAAGCCAGGGGAGCGAAAGGG